ensembl:ncRNA lncRNA:CR45725 long non-coding RNA:CR45725
AAUUAAGUUCAAUCUUUACCGAGUCGCGAACCAGUAGCUGUAUCUUCUCGGCCAGCAUCCGCUCAAGUCGCCCGUGCCCGAUCCCGAUCCCGGUCCCGAUCCCAAGCCCAACCCCAAGCUCAGGCCCGAUCCCCCUGCUCCAUCUGCUCCUCUCACUGCUGGAGUAGCCAAACUCCAUUAACUUUGCAAUUGGCCACCAUAACUCGUCCGUCGCACCACCUUCCACCCGACCGACCGACCGGCUCCCCGUUUGCCCGAUGCCUUCGCCGUCACCUUGCCGCCCAUUUGGUCGCCGCAUCCACAUCCACAUCCACAUGCACCUCUACCUCCGCACAGAGCACAUCCAUCCACAUCCACAUCCCACAGAGCAGCAGGCGAGGUCCAUUCCAUUCCAGUCCAGUCCCGGCCCCAUCGCUUGUUAGUUUUUG